AACCAAUCUGCGUUUAGUUUCUGCUCUUUCCUCUUAUUGGAAUUGAGAUGAUAUAUAUUGAUAUUGAUGGAUAAUAAGAUGGAUGGGAGCGGCGGCAGCAGCACCACCGCUACUAAGUUAAUCACAGAGAUCAAGCAAGAGAAGGAUGCAUGAAGAAUUUCAGUCUCUUCAAACAUUGGGAUAGCUUUGAGUUUCAGUAGUUUUGAUUUAUGUUAAAAAAAAAAAACAUUGUCUAAUUUUGUAAGAGCAAUUCCAAAGCUCCCUCUCAAACAAUUCUGUUUUGUACUUUUGCCGCUUUUGAAUCUUGAUUUUGAAUCAAUGUGAUCAUGUUUUUUGCUUCA